AGUGAACGCUGCGGCAGGCUUAAUACAUGCAAGUCGAGCGAGCGGCGGACGGGUGAGUAAUGCUUAGGAAUCUGCCUAUUAGUGGUGGACAACAUCUCGCAAGGGAUGCUAAUACCGCAUACUAUUAGAGGAGACUCAGUCGGAUUAGGUAGUUGGUGGGGUAAAGGCCUACCAAGACGACGAUCUGUAUAGGGUCUGAGAGGAUGAUCCGCCACACUGGGACUGGGACACGGCCCAGACUCCUACGGGAGGCAGCAGUGGGGAAUAUUGGACAAUGGGGGGAACCCUGAUCCAGCCAUGCCGCGUGUGUGAAGAAGGCCUUAUGGUUGUAAAGCACUUUAAGCGAGGAGGCGUUACUCGCAGAAUAAGCACCGGCUAACUCUGUGCCAGCAGCCGCGGUAAUUC
rnacentral:rRNA from 1 species